UACAGAGGUCCCAAGCGUUGUUCGGAUUCAUUGGGCGUAAAGGGUGCGUAGGCGGCGCGGUAAGUCGGGGGUGAAAUCCCGAGGCUCAACCUCGGAACUGCCUUCGAUACUGCGGGUCUCGAGUCCGGGAGAGGUGAGUGGAAUUCCUAGUGUAGAGGUGAAAUUCGUAGAUAUUAGGAAGAACACCAGUGGCGAAGGCGGCUCACUGGCCCGGUACUGACGCUGAGGCGCGAAAGCGUGGGGAGCAAACAGG
rnacentral:rRNA from 1 species